AUGAACGCUAGCUACAGGCUUAACACAUGCAAGUCGAGGGGCAGCAUGAACUUAGCUUGCUAAGUUUGAUGGCGACCGGCGCACGGGUGAGUAACACGUAUCCAACCUGCCGAUGACUCGGGGAUAGCCUUUCGAAAGAAAGAUUAAUACCCGAUGGCAUAGUUCUUCCGCAUGGUAGAACUAUUAAAGAAUUUCGGUCAUCGAUGGGGAUGCGUUCCAUUAGGUUGUUGGCGGGGUAACGGCCCACCAAGCCUUCGAUGGAUAGGGGUUCUGAGAGGAAGGUCCCCCACAUUGGAACUGAGACACGGUCCAAACUCCUACGGGAGGCAGCAGUGAGGAAUAUUGGUCAAUGGACGAGAGUCUGAACCAGCCAAGUAGCGUGAAGGAUGACUGCCCUAUGGGUUGUAAACUUCUUUUAUACGGGAAUAAAGUGAGGCACGUGUGCCUUUUUGUAUGUACCGUAUGAAUAAGGAUCGGCUAACUCCGUGCCAGCAGCCGCGGUAAUACGGAGGAUCCGAGCGUUAUCCGGAUUUAUUGGGUUUAAAGGGAGCGUAGGCGGACGCUUAAGUCAGUUGUGAAAGUUUGCGGCUCAACCGUAAAAUUGCAGUUGAUACUGGGUGUCUUGAGUACAGUAGAGGCAGGCGGAAUUCGUGGUGUAGCGGUGAAAUGCUUAGAUAUCACGAAGAACUCCGAUUGCGAAGGCAGCUUGCUGGACUGUAACUGACGCUGAUGCUCGAAAGUGUGGGUAUCAAACAGGAUUAGAUACCCUGGUAGUCCACACAGUAAACGAUGAAUACUCGCUGUUUGCGAUAUACAGUAAGCGGCCAAGCGAAAGCGUUAAGUAUUCCACCUGGGGAGUACGCCGGCAACGGUGAAACUCAAAGGAAUUGACGGGGGCCCGCACAAGCAGUGGAUUAUGUGGUUUAAUUCGAAGCAACGCGAAGAACCUUACCAGGGCUUGACAUCCAACUAACGAAGCAGAGAUGCAUUAGGUGCCCUUCGGGGAAAGUUGAGACAGGUGGUGCAUGGUUGUCGUCAGCUCGUGCCGUGAGGUGUCGGCUUAAGUGCCAUAACGAGCGCAACCCUUAUCGAUAGUUACCAUCAGGUUAUGCUGGGGACUCUGUCGAGACUGCCGUCGUAAGAUGUGAGGAAGGUGGGGAUGACGUCAAAUCAGCACGGCCCUUACGUCCGGGGCUACACACGUGUUACAAUGGGGGGUACAGAAGGCAGCUACACGGCGACGUGAUGCUAAUCCCGAAAGCCUCUCUCAGUUCGGAUUGGAGUCUGCAACCCGACUCCAUGAAGCUGGAUUCGCUAGUAAUCGCGCAUCAGCCACGGCGCGGUGAAUACGUUCCCGGGCCUUGUACACACCGCCCGUCAAGCCAUGAAAGCCGGGGGUACCUGAAGUGCGUAACCGCAAGGAGCGCCCUAGGGUAAAACUGGUGAUUGGGGCU
rnacentral:rRNA from 1 species